GGCCAUAUCAGGUUGAAACACUAGUUCCUGGACAAUCACUGAAGUUAAGCAAUGUUGAACCUGGUCAGUACAUAGAUGGGUGACCACUUGGGAAUACCAGGUUCUGUAAG